rnacentral:rRNA from 4 species
UGGGGAAUAUUGCACAAUGGAGGAAACUCUGAUGCAGCGACGCCGCGUGAAGGAUGAAGUAUUUCGGUAUGUAAACUUCUAUCAGCAGGGAAGAAAAUGACGGUACCUGACUAAGAAGCCCCGGCUAACUACGUGCCAGCAGCCGCGGUAAUACGUAGGGGGCAAGCGUUAUCCGGAUUUACUGGGUGUAAAGGGAGCGUAGACGGCACGGCAAGCCAGAUGUGAAAGCCCGGGGCUCAACCCCGGGACUGCAUUUGGAACUGCUGAGCUAGAGUGUCGGAGAGGCAAGUGGAAUUCCUAGUGUAGCGGUGAAAUGCGUAGAUAUUAGGAGGAACACCAGUGGCGAAGGCGGCUUGCUGGACGAUGACUGACGUUGAGGCUCGAAAGCGUGGGGAGCAAACAGG